GCUAAUAUGGCAGAAUAGUGCAGUAGAUUUAAGAUCUGCAUAAAAAGGUUAAAUCCUUUUAUUAGAA
rnacentral:tRNA from 1 species